CGUAAGCCCGGGGAAAGCACAGCCUGGAGAGACAGAGCCGUGGCAAGCCGAGAGAGGCGAGGACAACUGGAAAACCUGACAAGAAACAUCAAAAGAGAAAUAUGAAGCUGAGAUUUGAAAAGGUUCAUUCAGGACCAUCAGGACCAGAACUUGGUGAAGUAAUGUACAACUGUAGAGUGGUGAAGAGUUGAAUCACUCGUAUACAGAUACUGUGGAGACUUUUAUAUAUAUUUUGUACAGAAAAAGGCCUUGCCUGCCCUUUCCAUUGCAGCAAAGUGGGACUUUGAUCAGAUGUGCAAGAAAUAAAGGCUGAGAUGGGGAGAAUUUCAGAUGUCCUGUCAAUGAAGGGAGAAGCCUUUGGUCAUUCCAGUGGUUCAUCCAACUUCUGUGGCUACCUUGAUAUGUUCUUACUUUUUUGCUGAUGUCCAUUUCUUCUGUUGUAAGCAUCCUCCAAGGGUCAGGUUUGGUGACUACCAGACUACAAGGCCAUGGCUGGCUUGUAAAUUUGUCAUGAAGAAGAUGAGAAUUACGCCAGUUCAUCUGAUUGCCAUAUCUACGAUCUGUAGAUCCUGGGGUAGUGUAUUCUAGUAUCUGGGCAUAUGCAGGUGGAUAUGACAGACAGACUCGUGAGACAGGGGAGGAUUGGCUUAAAAAACAGAUAAAACAUUUGCGGUUACUAUGGAAACACAUCUCUCUCUUGGGCCUUCUGCAUACCAGCACAAAGUUUCUUUCUGAGGCCUUCUAUAGAUCUAAUCUCCUUUUCCUACUAGCGUAAACCACAAUGAUUUCAUUCACAGUAUGUAACUUUGCUGACACCAAUAGGUGUUUUCUACAGUCCAUCUUCUAUAGGUAUUGUUAAUCCAUGCUACUUGCAACCUGACUGAUGUUGAUUUUAAGGAAGUGUAGGUACGUUUCAGGAAAUGUAACAAACCACACAAAAAACAUAUGAGGCAAAUGUAUGUCAAGUGUGUGAAAUGGGCUGUUUCUGGUAGUCUGUGGAUUAUUCUUCUGUUUUCUUUAC